UGUCUGACACCAGGCCAUUAGGCUGUUCUUGUCUUGAGUCAAGACACCAUAUUGCCUGACACUGUUAGGUUCUACUCCGGUACGGUACUCGGAUACGGAGGCAGAGAAAAUCUCCGACCAGAUGUAUUCACCCAACAGGAUACCCUCAGCUGUAUAGCAGCACAGUGCUACAGAGCCAGUCUUAUCUACAGUACCUGGGGUGAAUGUCUCAGCAGGAUGGGACAGGCUGGACCAGAUGGCUGUUUGGCUCUGAUCUCCCUUCAGAUACCAUUCUGAUAUCUGCAUCUUGUCAUUCUCACUUCUCUCCCCAACUGCUACGUUGAAAGCCAUCAUCUCACUUCCCACAGAAACUAGCCAUUUGGACAGUAACUUAACCUUGACCCUAUCAUAACCCUGACAGAAGGUUUCUAUUGACCUUUAGGGAAUCAUUCAUGCAGUCCGAAGCAGUCCCCUAUCCCUAUGCCUAAAUACAAUGCACAUAGAUUCACCCAAUCCCAUAACAGGAUGAUUACUACGGAUUAUUCUAGAAAAGGUUAUAGUGUCAUAACGGCCUCCAACAGCACCGUUGAAUUUGUCUUACAAUGUUGGGAAAAGCUUUCUCCAAUAUUCUGCUAUUUUAUACUGAAAGAUACAUUUCUGUAGCUCAAAGAAAGGAAAACCGCUUAUGAUCGGCAGAUAUUUUAUUUUGAUUUAACCUUUAUUUAACUAGGCAAGUCAGUUAAGAACAAAUUCUUAUUUACAAUGACGGCCUACCAAAAGGCAAAAAGACCUGAGGGGACAGGGGCUGGGAUUAAAAAUAUCUUUCUAUUAUGGUUUUAUUUGGUAAAUCAAGUGAGGUUGGUUGCAUAAAACAAGUAUGAAAGACUAUUUUACUAUAUACAAAUUACACUUCCAUCAGAGGUUAAUGUUUGUGAAUAUAUAAAGCACAUUAUAUUUGCAUAUCAGUCAAUACAUUGACAGAUCUGUCUUGGGGAUUUAACCAGAAGCUAACUAAAUGCUAUUGUCGAUCCAUAGACUACAAUACUAGCGUUGUAGCCAUUAGAUUACGUGAAUGUGUCAUGCCUUGCUACCCAGGAACCAAACACAUAGAACAGAAGGGACCAGGGAAAAACAAACAAGGAUCAUUAUGUUCCAGAAGUGCUUUUAUCUUUAGACUGAGCAGCAGUUUUUCCAGGUCACUGGGUAGUUGUGUGUGGGUGGGAACAUACUUCUCACAGAGAGAAAAAGGGAGGGAGAGAAUCAGUCUGUCUCUCUAGCUCUGAACCAGGUAACAGGUUGCUGCUGCCUGUCUCUCUAGCUCUGAACCAGGUAACAGGUUUCUGCUGCCUGUCUCUCUAGCUCUGAACCAGGUAACAGGUUUCUGCUGCCUGUCUCUCUCUAGCUCUGAACCAGGUAACAGGUUUCUGCUGCCUGUCUCUCUCUAGCUCUGAACCAGGUAACAGGUUUCUGCUGCCUGUCUCUCUAGCUCUGAACCAGGUAACAGGUUUCUGCUGCCUGUCUCUCUCUAGCUCUGAACCAGGUAACAGGUUUCUGCUGCCUGUCUCUCUAGCUCUGAACCAGGCAUCAGGUUUCUGCUGCCUGUCGGCCUGUCUCUCUAGCUCUGAACCAGGUAACAGGUUUCUGCUGCCUGUCGGCCUGUCUCUCUCUAGCUCUGAACCAGGCAUCAGAUUUCUGCUGCCUGUCUCUCUAGCUCUGAACCAGGCAACAGGUUUCUGCUGCCUGUCGGCCUGUCUCUCUCUAGCUCUGAACCAGGCAUCAGGUUUCUGCUGCCUGUCGGCCUGUCUCUCUCUAGCUCUGAACCAGGUAACAGGUUUAUGCUGCCUGUCGGCCUGUCUCUCUCUAGCUCUGAACCAGGCAUCAGGUUUCUGCUGCCUGUCGGCCUGUCUCUCUCUAGCUCUGAACCAGGCAUCAGGUUUCUGCUGCCUGUCGGCCUGUCUCUCUCUAGCUCUGAACCAGGCAUCAGGUUUCUGCUGCCUGUCGGCCUGUCUCUCUAGCUCUGAACCAGGCAUCAGGUUUCUGCUGCCUGUCGGCCUGUCUCUCUCUAGCUCUGAACCAGGCAUCAGGUUUCUGCUGCCUGUCGGCCUGUCUCUCUCUAGCUCUGAACCAGGCAUCAGGUUUCUGCUGCCUGUCGGCCUGUCUCUCUCUAGCUCUGAACCAGGUAACAGGUUUCUGCUGCCUGUCUCUCUAGCUCUGAACCAGGUAACAGGUUUCUGUUUUAUUCAACUCAUGAAUGAAUGUUCCCAUAUUGCUGCCUGGCAACCAGCCAGUAUCAGGAGAAAAGGGAACAUCUUGUUCCGUUAGUUAUGCUGCACAGAGUAGAACAGGCUGUGGCCAAAGUUAUGAAAUGAAGAAAGGAAGGGAGGGGAAAAUUAACAAUAGAAAAAGGAGAGUAGGAGCAGAGGGUGUAUAACUGGACUGUGUGUUUGAUUGAAUUCAUAUCUUAUACCAAUGUAUGGAAUAAUAUAAAGGGAGGGUCUUUUCAAUCCAUAUCGCGGAAGUUCAGCGUUACGUCACGAUUUAAAUUUAAAAGGCAAUGUUAGUGGAGAGUGCAUUCACGGUAAACGCUGUAAUAUGUCGACUCAAUCAGAAAUGACCUUUAAAUUUAUAGCGUGCAAUCUGUAACGCCUCAGCGAAUAGAGAUUGAAUAAAGGCUGAAGUCUGUUUUUAGAGAGCGCUUGCAGAAAUGGCAUUUUUCAGGGUAGGAUAGGGAGUGACGCAAAAUGUAAAACAUGUUCGACACCGACUGGCUUGAUCAAGUCCAUAUUUCUGUGCUGAGAGGACAGACAGAGUGGAAGAUGUCUUCUCCCUCGUCUUCCUCUUGGAGUCUUUCCCUCUUUGUGUUUCAACCUGUUGAUUGGUGGUGGUGUGACUCUACUGGACCGCUCUGUUGGCUGGGGGGCGCUGGACCGGGGGCGCUGGACCCGGGGCGCUGGACCGGGGACGCUGGACCGGGGGCGCUGGACCGGGAGCUGGACCGGGGAGCUGGACCGGGGAGCUGGACUGGGGGGCGCUGGACCGGGGUGCUGGACGGGAGCACUGGGCGAGGGCGGUGGGCUGGACGGGGCGGUGGGCUGGACGGGGCGGUGCAUGGUUUGGGGCUCCCCCAGAACCACACUGACCCACCUUCCUUUAGAUAUUCCCCCUGCUCCUGGGAACCCUGAGGAGGAUAUGAAGAGGUGAUUAGUAAAUCCCCUGCUCCUGGGAACCCUGAGGAGGAUAUG
rnacentral:lncRNA from 1 species